UACGUAGGUGGCGAGCGUUGUCCGGAUUUAUUGGGCGUAAAGCGCGCGCAGGCGGUCUGUUAAGUUCGGUGUGAAAGCUCCCGGCUCAACUGGGAGAGGCCACGGGAGACUGGCAGACUGGAGGCAGGCAGAGGCCGGUGGAAUUCCCGGUGUAGUGGUGAAAUGCGUAGAGAUCGGGAGGAACACCAGUGGCGAAAGCGGCCGGCUGGGCCUGAACUGACGCUGAGGCGCGAAAGCGUGGGGAGCGAAC
rnacentral:rRNA from 1 species